UCUCUUGUAGCUCAGUUGGUUAGAGCACUGCACCGGAAUCGCAGGGCCGUAGGUUCAAUUCCUACUAGAGGAC